CAUCGGAAUCUACUCUGUCGUGGGGGGAGUAACGUAGGGAAACUUACGCUAAUACCGCAUACGACCUACGGGUGAAAGCAGGGGAUCUUCGGACCUUGCGCGAUUGAAUGAGCCGAUGUCGGAUUAGCUAGUUGGCGGGGUAAAGGCCCACCAAGGCGACGAUCCGUAGCUGGUCUGAGAGGAUGAUCAGCCACACUGGAACUGAGACACGGUCCAGACUCCUACGGGAGGCAGCAGCC
rnacentral:rRNA from 1 species